rnacentral:lncRNA from 1 species
AGCGGACUAGAAGAUUAAAACUUCUUUUAAUCUAUAUUAUGCAUGUAUAAAAUAUAAACCACAAGGAUCUACUUCAUAUACUGAAAUUGAACAUAUACUAGAAUUUAACAUAUGAUCGAAUCACAUACCUAUUUUGUAAUUCUUUUGUUUAUUUUUGGAUCUAAAAGAGAAGAGGCUUUCUCUUAGCCACGUAAGUAUCCGAUCUCUAUAGAUAUCCACUCA